rnacentral:lncRNA from 1 species
AUGAUCUGUCAAGCCGGGAUGUCACCCGACCUGGCUAUUGGGCUUUCUCCACUCUCUGAUCCGACAGACCAGGGAGCUGCCAACAGGGAGCAGACUUGUUUGUUCCCUAAAGCUCUUCAGUGCACUGUAAUAUUUGGAUUUUUUGCCUUGCAGCAUGGACAUGAAGGAGGACCUGGAAAUACUGAUGGCCUUGGAAUGAGCCGAGCUAAUAGCCAACUACAAUCAGGGAGAGAACGUGUUCUUGGUGACCAAUUUCCUUGUGACGCCAGAACAAGUUCAGGGCAGAUGCCCAGAGGGAUGGAGAAGCCCAUUUCUACUGGAGGACCAAGUAUGAAGAGGAGGGCUGCCGGCCUGCCCAGACCCUGGGCUACACUUUGGAGGAUGGUGGCUGGAGCCCCAACCUGCUGUCCUCAUCUGCAGCAAAGGCCCCAAAGGGGACUGCCGACCCUGAGCAGACAGAACUGCCUUCCCCACCCCCACAUCCGGCUGCCCAGCUGCCACGACCCCAGGACUCCUCCCGAUGCCCGCACCCAGCCACCCCAACAUCCUCCCGACUAUACUUCUGCCUCUGCUCUUGGCCCCCAUUCCUCUCAACUCUGCCGUGAGAGCCCUUUGCAAACUUUAACUCAGGAUCAUUGUGAAGGUAAGGACCCACUCCCCUUGCCCGGAAGCAGCUGGUGCCCCAGUCGCCCACUCUGCCCUGGCUCCCUGGGUACCAGCCACUGUGGGCUGCUCUUCCUAUGUGCCAUCUGCUCUUCCCCAGAUACUGCCUCCCAGGCCCCAACCACUGGACCCUGUCCCCUCCUUGACCUUACCUUCUUUGCUGUUUGUGACUUCUGGGGUCGUGUCCCCACCACAGCUGAGGUGCACACAGUAGGUGGCUGUUUCACAGUUAAUGGAUGUGUGGGUGAAGUAGAGCCUUUCAUUUUUCUUUUAGGAUGCUGGAGUGUUUUCAGGUGA